UGAAGCAGCUGAAGGUGCUUGGGCCAAAGACACUACGCUGAGGAUCUACUGCAGAGAUGUCCUGGAACUGUGAUGACUGACCUCUAACAUCCAUGAUCAUUUUCCUGUGUACCAGAGUCAGCCCAUGUCUCCAUAGGGAUUGCCCACAUCCCUCUGUAUGCACAUAUCAGAAAUGGACGUGAACAAGACCGUGGCAGCUUCCCAGCAUAUGGCAGAAGAAAAUAAUUCCUUCCACUGAAAGCGCAUUCACAUACAGCCUUGUAUCUAAACGGGGAUAUAACCAACAUUCCUCCACUGGAUGUCUAGAAAGCCUGAUGUGGAAGACGGAGUUUCAUUAUCUUGAAACUGAAACAGAGAGCUCUCGAAAAUGUAAAUCACAGAGGGAGGCCAUUCAGAUAGCUAUUGUUCAUGGAAUGCAAAACGUUAUAAUUUUAUUAAAGGUUUUUAAAAACAAAA